AGAGUUUGAUCAUGGCUCAGGACGAACGCUGGCGGCGUGCUUAACACAUGCAAGUCGAACGGAAAGGCCCUUCGGGGUGCUCGAGUGGCGAACGGGUGAGUAACACGUGGGUGAUCUGCCCUGCACUUUGGGAUAAGCCUGGGAAACUGGGUCUAAUACCGAAUAGGACUCCGGACUGCAUGGUCUGGGGUGGAAAGCUUUUGCGGUGUGGGAUGGGCCCGCGGCCUAUCAGCUUGUUGGUGGGGUGAUGGCCUACCAAGGCGACGACGGGUAGCCGGCCUGAGAGGGUGACCGGCCACACUGGGACUGAGAUACGGCCCAGACUCCUACGGGAGGCAGCAGUGGGGAAUAUUGCACGAUGGGCGCAAGCCUGAUGCAGCGACGCCGCGUGAGGGAUGACGGCCUUCGGGUUGUAAACCUCUUUCAGCACAGACGAAGCGCGAGUGACGGUAUGUGCAGAAGAAGGACCGGCCAACUACGUGCCAGCAGCCGCGGUAAUACGUAGGGUCCGAGCGUUGUCCGGAAUUACUGGGCGUAAAGAGCUCGUAGGUGGUUUGUCGCGUUGUUCGUGAAAACUCACAGCUUAACUGUGGGCGUGCGGGCGAUACGGGCAGACUGGAGUACUGCAGGGGAGACUGGAAUUCCUGGUGUAGCGGUGGAAUGCGCAGAUAUCAGGAGGAACACCGGUGGCGAAGGCGGGUCUCUGGGCAGUAACUGACGCUGAGGAGCGAAAGCGUGGGGAGCGAACAGGAUUAGAUACCCCGGUAGUCCAA
rnacentral:rRNA from 1 species